CUGAAUCUGCAUAACGCUAUACUAUGCAUUGUACUGCUGCCACAUUAUUGGCUGGUUGUGUAAUUGCAUGAGUACACAGGUAAAAUUUUGCCACUGAGUGUAUAUUACAUUACUUACAGUAUAUACAUCAUAUACAGAUUAUAUGAUAAUGUUAUUUAUUGAAGAGAACAGUUAUCCAAUACAAACUGGGCCUGUGUGAAAAUGUAUUUGCGCCUGUAGUUACUAAUUGCCCAAAUCUAUGAAAGACUUAAAUAGAACAAAUCAACACUUAAAUAGAACUUUUUCAACAGCAUGAAGUUGGUUAAAAGGUCUUAUGCAGUAACACACUAUGCCAAAAUUGAAAGAUAUUCCUGAAUGAUGAGGAAGAAGGUAAUUGAAAUACAUCAGUCUGGGAAGUGUUAUAAAGCUAUUUCAAAGGUUCUGGGACUCCAAAGAACCACAGUGAGAGCCAUUAUCUCCAAAUGGAAAAACUCAGCACAGUAGUGAACCUUCCCAGAAGUGUCUGACCUUCCAAAAUUCCUCCAAGAGCACAGCAACUACUCAUCCAGCAAGUCACAAAAGAGCCAAGAACAACAUCAAAGGAACUAUAGACCUCUUUUGCAUCAAUAAAGGUCACUGUUCAUGACUCCACUAUCAUGACUAUUCAUGACUCCACUAUCAGAAAGACACUGGGUAAAAAUGGCAUCUAUGUAAGAGUGGUGAGGUGAAAACCACUGCUGACCCAGAAGGACAUUAUGGCUUAUCUGAAUUUUGCCAAAACACACCUUGAUGAUCCGCAAAUCUUUUGGGAGAAUGUUCUGUGGCUUGAUGAGUCGAAAGUGGAACUGUUUGGAAGACAGGCAUCAUACCUACGGUCAAGCAUGGUGGUGGAAGUGUGAUGGUGUGGGGAUGCUUUGUUGCAUCAGGGCCUGGGCAACUUGCAGUAAUUGAGGGAAAAAUUAAUUCUGCUCUCUGCCAGAAUAUCCUAAAGGAGGAUGUCUGGUCUUCAGUCCGUAAAUUGAAACUCAAGUGUAACUGGAUUAUGCAGCAAGACAAUGAUCCAAAGUAUAGGAGUAAAUCCUAGUCCUAGAAGUAAGUGAAAGACUGAUCUCCAGUUAUCGGAAGUGUUUGUUUGCAGUUAUUGCUGCUAAAGGUGGCACAACCAGAUUUUAACUUUAAGGGAGCAAUUAGUUUUUCAUAUUGGUAAUAGGUGUUACACCUAUCUGUGCACUACCAAAACUAAAGUUUACUUUACACAA
ensembl:lncRNA